rnacentral:misc_RNA from 1 species
GCAAACUUGGUCAUUUAGAGGAAGUAAAAGUCGUAACAAGGUUUCCGUAGGUGAACCUGCGGAAGGAUCAUUAAAGAUUCGGGUUUCGGCCCACCCUCCUCCUUCAGCUGUGCGCUUCGGCUGCACGCUGUCGGAAAACUUCACACACCUGUGCACACAUUCGGUUGCGGGGUAAUACCUGCGGCCGCUUCACAUCUAUCUACAAUAAGUCCAGAAUGUAAUAAAACUAUAUAAUAACAACUUUCAACAACGGAUCUCUUGGCUCUCGCAUCGAUGAAGAACGCAGC